rnacentral:lncRNA from 1 species
CGUGGCUCGCCUCGCGGUUCAGCGGGAGACAUGUAUCCGCCGCCCCGGUGUGUUCUGGCCGCGGCUAACGCUGCCUCCUCCACGGACGCGAUGAGGAACUUGUAGCUAGCGGCGGGAGGCGGCUAUAGUCAAGACUACCCGUAGCGGCUGCGGCUGCUAGCGGUGGCGAGCCUCUUGUGUGCCCCGGCACAAUUAGCAACGGAGCUAGCAAACGUGAACACUCAACUGGACGCCGGUAUCAUGUGAGGCGGGGGCGCAUGUCGGCUACCUGUUCCCCUCUCAUACUAAGCCACGAAGCAGUCUGUUGGAGGUCGGUUGUGUUGGCAGCGGCAAGGACACCGGGAAAGACUGACUCAGUCAGCGUCGGCUGUAAAGCCCAGGCCUCGCUUCUUGGACUUGGAGAGGAGCAGGAAGACGGUCAACUGGUCUCCCAGCAUGUGAUCCUGUGAGAUAAAAAGCGAGCCGCUCUCUUCACGCUGAACUCCUCUGGAAAAAAAAAAGAAAGAAGUAGAAGUUAGAUUGGAGCAACUUCAUGAAAUCAAGACCCUCAGGGUCUGGUGAAAAUAUGCUAAUUAGUUGAAGAUUGAGAGGGCUGAGAAGGAACAGCUGGAUGUGGAGGAAAAACAGCAGCGCAGCUUCGUUUAUAGAUCAAAAUAUUUUUAAGGCUCUUUAAUGAACUUAACGUUUGCUUAUAUAAGUCCAAGGCUAGUUUGUCAGGGAAAACUGUAAGCAGAGGAUAACCGCCUAGAGAAAUAUGAAUAAUAUUUCUGGUCUAUCCAAGAAAAAGCUGCCAAUUUUUUGCAUUAGCUUCAGUUUUCUCCUGUGAAGAAAACAUAUUUUUUUACUAUCUGUAAAAUAAUAUGUAACAGUGUCCGUAUGAUAGAAUCACUUGAUGGGAUUUGUUUGACUGUAUGCAAAUCAUACACUUAAUUUUUUUGGGUUAUGCAGUUUAUUCGAUUUAUUUGGCAAUGUUGCCAACCGGAUCUUCCCAGCAUUCUCUGCUCUUUGUUACGGUGUCAAUUUCAGGCUGUGUUCCUCCAAUACCGUAAUAACAUUAAGUGUCAGUCACUGACUGAUUUCUAUGUCCAUAAGAAAGACAAACUGUCCCUGGAAAGAAAAAGUUAAGCUCAUACCUAACUGUACAUCAGUUUUUAAGCUGGUUUUACUCUUCAGAUCUGCCAAAACUACGAGCCAAGUUUUGUCACAACUGAAUCAACCGCUUGUUCAAAUAUCAAAUGGAUUAUGUUAAACGCAAACAGAGACAGAGAGUGAGUGAUGCACAAAAUCCUGUAUCACACCUAUCAGUGCUGUUUGUCAUGUACUUUGCUGUUCUGCACACUGUAGAAUUAUUCCUGGUCUUUGGAUGAAACCGAACAACACACACCACUGACUUCAUCGUCACACUGCUUUUAACAGCUUUCAUGACAAGAAGCCAGUGUCAUAAGUAUCACCAGGGGGCGAUAUUACCAUUUUCUCUCACUGCUGGAUUUGAGCAUUUAUUCCAAAUGAGGCUUUUUGGAGGAUAUUUGAAAAAGCACAACUUUAUUGCAAAUCCUCACCUUCUUAAAACCAACUGUUUAAAAGACUCAAGGUCCUUAGAUGUUUAAUGUGCACACAUAUGAAAGGCUGCAAACAGUAUUUUAUUCAUUUUCACAUUGCAAAUACAAGAGUUUGGAGCCAAAAUCAAAACUGUGCAGCUGCCAAACACAUACGGAACAUUAUAUAUAUAAAAAAUAAGCAUAGGCCAGUAUAGUUCGACAUUAAUGCUCAUUCUGUUGUUUUUUUUUCUUUUCUUCUUUUUCCCAUUCAUUGUAUGAAGGUUGUUAUUUUUGCAUUGAUUGGCGUUCUGUUAUUUUGGCCUGUUCAGUAUUUAUUUAAUAUUGUUUUCAUGAUUUUACAGUGUGAAAGGAGAGAGAUUAGACGCAUUGACGAAUAAAUUUAAAAUAUUAAUUCCUAAGAGGAUCUGGCUGACACGAAUGCCUGCCUGCUCACUUUUUCGAUAAAAUUCAGUAUGUAUAGUAGGUGAAGGAUAAAAAGAGCUACAUUAUAAAAAGCAGAUGUGGACAGCUAGGCCCGAGGAGAUGGCAUCAUAAAUGGACAACAGGUAUGGACAGGUUGUGGGUCCAGGAGGUCUAGGUUUGUCAGAAUGGUGCGAAAAUCAAUGGACUCCUGAGGGGGCGGCUGUGCUCUGAUAGGCCGACCCCUCUCCUCACGGCGGAGCAGGAAUCAGUCAAGAAUAUUAAUCUAAACAUCAGUCAUGCAUGGGGAACACCCCACGAGGAGAAUGAGCCUGCUCAUCCAUGCAUCUCCUGGGGGAGGUAGAGGGGGGGCUUAGAGGAAGGAAGCUGAAUGGGUAAGUAUGUCAGGGUAUCAUCUCAGGAGAUAUGAUGUGGGCUGACUUCAGGCACACAGACAAUAAACCCCAAACUGAAGAGGUUGGCACCAUCCGAACUGAAAUCUGUGCAUAACUCAGUGAACCGCCCUCUGAUCUGUCUCAAAAACCUGCGCCAGAGUGGAGAAAAGCCACAGUCCGAACAAUGACCAGCAAAGAACAAUAUUUCCCCCGUGUGGGAAAAGAAGAAGAAAGCUAUAUUUCUGAGUUAUAUGUUAAUGUAAUUCAUCUUAUUGUAAUCUAAUCCUCCAGCUGUUCCAAUAAGCCACACAAGUAGCUGGAAAUAUUCAAAUUCAGCACCAGUGCAUCUUCUUAUUACCUACAUUAUGCUGCAUUUCAUCUUCUCUCCUCACAUUUUAUAAAAUGACUCCUCUGCCUCUCGGUUUCCACUGCUCUUACUAUGUUAUCUUCCCAAGGACAAGUACAGCUGUUGAGCUGUUUCCUCCAUUAGGAGACCCCACACUGACCGCAGGGCAUCCGAGCUUUCCACUCCACAGCUAAUCUAAUGUACCACGACUGUCAAGUGUGCUACACAGAAACAUGGGAACAUAUGUCAAUUUCUACCUUGCUAAUCGAUGCAACACCCAAGCUGAGGAUCAUGGGUAGGGUUUAAAAUUAGACUCCCAGAGAUACAGUAAGGCAGAGUAGAGGCAGAUUUUUAAUCAGUUCCAUAUUCAGCUCUACCGCUUCGAUUGGAUAUGUUAAAGCUCAGUGCUACUGAGGCCAGUGCAUUUGUUUCCCCCACUCAUGUCUCUGCAUUUCAGGAAUUGAGAACUUACUGUAUUUUUUGUGCAGUUAUCUGUAGCUGUGAUAUUACAGCAACAAUAAUUUGAUGUUCAACACACACAUAUCUGAGUCUACCCAGCGUCUCCUCUACCUUGAAGGUAAAAAAAAGUGUGCAAGUAAACUUUCCUCCAGGUAAAGUUUCCUGCAGCUCAUAACAUAUUUAUUUCCGAACUGAAGCCAUGGGGCCUGUGCUUGUCCCAGCAGCAGCAGAAUGCUGCAUCAGAGCUGAAAGGCAGAUUAAUGGCCUCAUUGUAAUGGGUCGGUCUGCUUCUUGUAUGCUCAAGAAAUCAUCAAAGAUUACGAGGCAAUCUCUUCCCCUGCAGAUGAAAUGACAAACCACCAAACAGACGCUCCUAACAUAUAACAUCUAGAACAGCUGUUAUCUUUAAUAGGCCUAAGGAUUAUUUGGUUAUUGCGGUGGUGAACAGUGAAACUCGAUAUGGUAAUGACAUGUAACAAAUAUAGCUCAGAGACAAAUCCUGGACAUUCUAGACUGGUCCUGUGGUGGAAACUACCACUGAGAUGGUUUUGAGUACUUUGACAGGUGUUAAUGUCUGUCUGACUGUCCGUCCGUCUGUCUGUUGACAGAUUGUCACCACAGUAGCGUCACAACCGUGGAAGAUGCAGUCACAAAACUUCGUAGGUGUGUGGUUGAGAUCAAAAUGAAGGCUGAGUUCGAUGCGUGUGGUCUGAAGCAGGGUGUCGGACGUGGAGGGGGUUGGAAAUACGCUCACUGUAUCCCAGUUUGGAUCAUUCCGGUAUCUGAGACAUUAUAGGUACAACCACAGACCAGCAGUGACGCCUUUCAAUAAUGUAGUGAUGACUACCGAGUACUAAUGGGUUGGAACAUCAUCAUGUUGACGGGUGUCACCGGUGGUGUGAUCUCAUCACACGAUAGUCUUUUGCUUUUAAGUAUAGUUGGAUACUUAUUAAUAAUGGACUCAUUUUUUCCAGUGACACGAUUUCACUCGUGUAUUUUUCAAACGAACACUUCCUACUUUCCC